rnacentral:misc_RNA from 1 species
GAUGAAGAACGCAGCGAAAUGCGAUAAGUAAUGUGAAUUGCAGAAUUCAGUGAAUCAUCGAAUCUUUGAACGCACAUUGCGCCCCCUGGUAUUCCGGGGGGCAUGCCUGUCCGAGCGUCAUUACAACCCUCAAGCUCAGCUUGGUGUUGGGCCCCGCCGCCCCGGCGGGCCCUAAAGUCAGUGGCGGUGCCGUCCGGCUCCGAGCGUAGUAAUUCUUCUCGCUCUGGAGGUCCGGUCGUGUGCUCGCCAGCAACCCCCAAUUUUUUCAGGUUGACCUCGGAUCAGGUAGGGAUACCCGCUGAACUUAAGCAUAUCAAUAACGGAGGA